rnacentral:RNase_P_RNA from 1 species
ACAGGCGGUGAGACGAUCGCCGGCGGAGCAAUCCGCGGGAGGAAAGUCCGGGCUUCACCUGAGCAGGCGCUGGAUAACAUCCAGUCGGGGCGACCCGAAGGACAGUGCCACAGAGAACAGACCGCCGACCCACGGGUCGGUAAGGGUGAAACGGUGCGGUAAGAGCGCACCGGGUUCCCGGUGACGGGAAUCGCAUGGUAAACCCCGCCCGAAGCAAGACAGACAGAGUUCCGGCGCUCAGGCCACAUGGAGCUCUGGUAGUCGCUCGAGCGCUCCGGCAACGGAGCGCCUAGAUGAAUGAUCGCCGCUCACCCUCCGGGGUGGGAACAGAACCCGGCUUACGGCCGCGUGUUCCG